AACGAACGCUGGCGGCAGGCCUCAAACAUGCAAGUCUAGGGGGUGCAGCAAUGCAUCACCGGCGGACGGGUGCGUAACGCGUGGGAAUAUACCUAUUGGUUCGGAACAACUGCGGGAAACUGCAGCUAAUACCGAAUGUGCCCUAACGGGGAAAGAUUUAUCGCCAAUGGAUUAGCCCGCGUAGGAUUAGCUAGUUGGUGGGGUAAUGGCUCACCAAGGCUCCGAUCCUUAGCNGUUCUGAGAGGAAGAUCAGCCACACUGGGACUGAGACACGGCCCAGACUCCUACGGGAGGCAGCAGUUGGGAAUCUUGGACAAUGGGGGAAACCCUGAUCCAGCCAUGCCGCGUGAGUGAUGAAGGCCUU
rnacentral:rRNA from 1 species